rnacentral:rRNA from 1 species
GUCUAUCCAACCAAGUCUAUGGCCAAGCCCAAUCCCCUCUGAUCUCAGAAGCUAAGCAGGGUCGGGCCUGGUUAGUACUUGGUUGGGAGACCACCUAGGAAGAAAGACUAGGUGCUAUAGGUG